rnacentral:lncRNA from 1 species
CUCCUAAGCAGUUGUCACACACAAAUGCUUUUAAAAGAAAUAAAUAGAUAUAGAUAGGUGUAAGAAGAUAUGGUAUGAGUGCCAAUGAGACAACAUUCCAUCAAAGUCACAAUUUGUAAAAGUAAACAAUUACAGAUUAAAGGUAAAGGUUUCGACACAGAGACCUGGCUAACACUGAACAGCAAGCUAUAAAGACAUUCAAACUUGGAAACCUAAUUAUAAAAAACCAGAAUCACUACUAAACCACUUCAACAAACGACAACCAACCAACUAACAUCAGGUUCCUGAUUUGGAAAAUAGAGUUUAAAAAAACAUGACACGACCCUCCACUUCUUCCUAUGGUGUAUAUAAAAAAGAAGAUGUGUUAUGAUGGCCAUAAAUG